rnacentral:lncRNA from 1 species
UUGGCCACUUCUGAAGGAUUCCUUAAAACACCCCAUUCACAGGCCUUGGGGUAAAUUUAAUUUAAGGGUCAUCUUCAUAGAAAAAAGCUCUCACCAGUUUUUUUCCCCAUUGGUUUAGCAUUCCAGCUGCCUGAGGUGAUGAUACCAGUUGAGACAGACAAGAAGCUUUUACCAUUGAAUUCCCAGAUGUUUCACGCACUGUAUAUAUCCCUGUUUAACUUUUACUUUCGAGCCGCAGAGAGAAGAAGCUGCCCAAGAAUGGAAAGGAAGAAAUAUAUCACAUCAUCUGUCUGUCCACAGGCUUUCCUUGGGGCUUAUGAAGGUAUUUUAGAAUUUUUAUAUUGGCAUUUUUCAGGGGGAUAAAGGUGAACCCUCAAGGGCAGUUGGGCAUCAGUCUUGAAAGUUUGGGCUUCCUUGUUGGUACACUAACCUGACUUUAAUAGCUUUCUGUUAGUCAAUAACCAAGGUUAAUAUCAAUGACUUUGUUUUUGGUGUUGAAGCCAUCAUGUACAAUAAUGCCAGAUGUAUUGCUGUGUUUUGAGUGACCUUUUGUUAUGUUGAAUUGGGGCUAGUUAUGAUUUUUCUCUUUUUUUAGCUAGUUUAUGAUAAAUUCCUUAAUGCAUAUUUUGGUAUUUGUACCUUAUAAGUGUGAACC